rnacentral:rRNA from 1 species
CCUACGGGCGGCAGCAGUGAGGAAUAUUGGUCAAUGGACGCAAGUCUGAACCAGCCAUGCCGCGUGCAGGAAGACGGCUCUAUGAGUUGUAAACUGCUUUUGUACGAGGGUAAACGCAGAUACGCGUAUCUGUCUGAAAGUAUCGUACGAAUAAGGAUCGGCUAACUCCGUGCCAGCAGCCGCGGUAAUACGGAGGAUUCAAGCGUUAUCCGGAUUUAUUGGGUUUAAAGGGUGCGUAGGCGGACGGAUAAGUUAGAGGUGAAAUCCCGAGGCUCAACUGCGGAAUUGCCUCUGAUACUGUUCGGCGAGAGAGUAGUUGCGGUAGGCGGAAUGUGUGGUGUAGCGGUGAAAUGCUUAGAGAUCAUACAGAACACCGAUUGCGAAGGCAGCUUACCAAGCUACUUCUGACGUUGAGGCACGAAAGCGUGGGGAGCAAACAGGAUUAGAUACCCGGGUAGUC